rnacentral:misc_RNA from 1 species
AAGUCGUAACAAGGUUUCCGUAGGUGAACCUGCGGAAGGAUCAUUAACACGUAUCCACGUUUAUAACCCGAGAACUUCUUAGGUAGCUUAUUCGAGAAUCCCUAUUCUUAGCUUAGCGGCUAAGUUAGGGGCUAUUGAAUCUGCUCCUUCGAUUCCUUCAGGGACAAAUCUUCGGAGGCGUCCCCGAGGGCUACUUGAAACCCCUUUUUUUCUAAUAAAGGCCGUCUCUUUGUAGACCGCUUUUAACCGAAUGCUGUACAACUCUUAGCAACGGAUAUCUUGGUUCUG